rnacentral:lncRNA from 1 species
GCCUAGUAGCGCCCUGCGUUCUGGGACUUGUAGUCCUAUUCUGUAAAGGCCACGCAGGUUCCAGGCGUUCUGUGUUCCGCAAGACCUUUGGCCAACCCUACCUCGUCGGUGGGCUGCCCAGUCCUUGAGACUCGUGAGUGCUUUGCCAUUCUCUUCCUGAAGAUUUUUUUUUUUUCCUGAGAGCUGACAGAAUGAGACUUGCCCCCAGGUUCAUCACCAUCAAGGCGAGAACAUGGCAGCAUCCAGGUGGGCAUGGUGCAAGAGGAGCUGAAAGUUCUACAUCUUCAUUUGAAGGCUGCUAGCAGAAUACUGGCUUCCAGGAAGCUAGGAUGAGAAAGCCCACACUCACAGUGACACAUCUCCUCCAACAAGGUCACGCCUACUCCAACAGAGCCACAGCCAGCUCCCUGGGCCAAGCAUAGCCAAACCAUAACAUGAGCUUUGCACAGCAGUACCACUAAAGACUGGUGGAUUCUAUGGAGCAUCUGUACAAGAAAUUGAUAAGAAAAUGUUACCUUCAGCCAAACCAUAACAUGAGCUUUGCACAGCAGUACCACUAAAGACUGGUGGAUUCUAUGGAGCAUCUGUACAAGAAAUUGAUAAGAAAAUGUUACCUUCAGAGCUUUCCUAUCCCUUCUGCAGGGGGCUUACAGCUAAUUUGAGGGGAUAGGGUUCCCAGGAUUCUGUGUGUCAUUUGCCACUUGCGAUCAUUUCCCAUGUAUAUGGCAUGCCUGUUCAUAGACUUGUUAUACCUUGUGCCUACUCCUGACUGGUGAACUUUGAAUAGAAUGUGAAUAAGAUAUCUAUCCAUCUGAGUCCUAGCUAUAACACUGAAAUUGUAUCUUUCUCGAAGUUGCUCAAAGAUUCAGUGUUAGGUUGUAUUUUUCCCAAUGUAAAGUACAGAAGGAGUGAGCAGAGGAUUCAGAUAUGGAUCUGAUUGGUUUGAAAGUAUCGAAUAACUGUUGCACACAGUUUACGCUGGCUAGUUUUCUAUGAAUUUGACACAAGGUAGAGGCAUUUGAGAAGAGGGAACCUCAAUUGAGAAAAUGCUCCUAUCAUAGGUCAAGCACGUGGAGCAUUUUUGUUUGUUUGUUUGGUUUUGUUUUUCCAAGUCAGGGUUUCUCUGUGUAGCCCUGACUGUCCUGGAACUUGUUCUGUAGACCAGGCUGGCCUCAAACUCACAAAGAUCUGCUUGCCUCUGACUUCUAAGUGCUGGACCUAAAGGCCACCACCUCGCUCCUGCAUUUUCUUGAUUAAUGAUGGAUGGGCAAGCAUCCAGCACAUUGAAGGUAGUGCCACCCAUGGGCUAGUGGUCCUGGAGAGCAUAAGAAAUCAGGUUGAGCAAGCCACAUGAGCAAGCCAGUAAGCAGCACCCCUCCAUGGCCUUUGCUUCAGCUCCUCCCUCCAGGUUCCUGCCUUUAAUUUCUGCCCUGACUUCCCUAGAUGAAGGAUUAUAAACUGUAAAAUGCAAUAAACCUUUUCCUCCCCAAA